rnacentral:rRNA from 1 species
CCCCUAGAUGUUCUGGGCCGCACGCGCGCUACACUGAACAGUUCAACAAGUCUUAACCUUGGCCGAUAGGUCUGGGUAAUCUUUGAACGCUGUUCGUGAUUGGGAUAGACCUUUGCAAUUAUGGGUCUUCAACGAGGAACUCCUAGUAAACGCAAGUCAUCAGCUUGCAUUGAUUACGUCCCUGCCCUUUGUACACACCGCCCGUCGCACCUACCGAUUGAAUGGUCCGGUGAAAUCUCGGGACGGCGGCUUGGUCGCUUGCGUCCGACUGCUGAAACUUGAUUAAACCAUAUCAUUUAGAGGAAGGUGAANUCGUAACA